rnacentral:rRNA from 1 species
ACGUAGGGGGCAAGCGUUGUCCGGAAUUACUGGGCGUAAAGGGUGCGUAGGCGGUUUUUUAAGUCAGAUGUGAAAUACCCGGGCUUAACCUGGGGGGUGCCUCUGAUACUGGGGAACUUGAGUGCAGGAGAGGAAAGUGGAUUUCCUAGUGUAGCGGUGAAAUGCGUAGAUAGUAGGAGGAACACCAGUGGCGAAGGCGACUUUCUGGACUGUAACUGACGCUGAGGCACGAAAGCGAGGGGAGCAAACAG